AGUGAACGCUGGCGGUAGGCCUAACACAUGCAAGUCGAACGGCAGCACAGUAAGAGCUUGCUCUUACGGGUGGCGAGUGGCGGACGGGUGAGGAAUACAUCGGAAUCUACUUUUUCGUGGGGGAUAACGUAGGGAAACUUACGCUAAUACCGCAUACGACCUACGGGUGAAAGCAGGGGAUCUUCGGACCUUGCGCGAUUGAAUGAGCCGAUGUCGGAUUAGCUAGUUGGCGGGGUAAAGGCCCACCAAGGCGACGAUCCGUAGCUGGUCUGAGAGGAUGAUCAGGGAGACGGGAGCUGAGACACGGUGCAGACUCCUACGGGAGGCAGCAGUGGGGAAUAGUGGACAAUGGGCGCAAGCCUGAUCCAGCCAUACCGCGUGGGUGAAGAAGGCCUUCGGGUUGUAAAGCCCUUUUGUUGGGAAAGAAAAGCAGCAGGUUAAUACCCCGCUGUUCUGACGGUACCCAAAGAAUAAGCACCGGCUAGCUUCGUG
rnacentral:rRNA from 1 species